GUGGAGUUACUGACUUCGGAAUGGGCGUUAUUACCAACAGCAGGAAAUACCCCCCUGACCAUAGGGGAGGUACCCUGAAAGCUUUACAUAUACCAUCUAUUUGUGAGCGCAACCUUAAAGCGUCAAGCGAUUUUUAAGGUUAUACUGUAUUACACUAUGUUGCAUUUUAUGUUUAUAUUUUAGUGAUACGAGCUGGAUCCCUAUUCUGUUUUGUAUUCUCUCAACACCUUCUGUCAC